rnacentral:rRNA from 1 species
UACGAAGGGGGCUAGCGUUGUUCGGAAUUACUGGGCGUAGAGGGCGCGUAGGUGGCUUGGCAAGUUGGAUGUGAAAGCCCAGGGCUCAACCCUGGAAUUGCAUUCAAGACUGCUUUGCUUGAAUUCGGUAGAGGUUGGUGGAAUUCCCAGUGUAGAGGUGAAAUUCGUAGAGAUUGGGAAGAACACCCGUGGCGAAGGCGGCCAACUGGACCGACAUUGACACUGAGGCGCGAAAGCGUGGGGAUCAAACAGG